rnacentral:rRNA from 1 species
UACCAGCUCUUCGAGUGGUGUGGAUGUUUAUUGGGCCUAAAGCAUCCGUAGCUGGCUGGGCAAGUCCCCUGUUAAAUCCACCGAUUUAAUCGUUGGAGUGCGGGGGAUACUGCUCGGCUAGGGGACGGGAGAGGCAGACGGUAUUUUCGGGGUAGGGGUGAAAUCCUAUAAUCCCGGGAAGACCACCAGUGGCGAAGGCUGUCUGCUAGACGCGCCCGACGGUGAGGGAUGAAAGCUGGGGGAGCGAACCGGAUUAGAUACCCGGGUGGUCCCAGCUGUAAACGAUGCAGGCUAGGUGUUUGGACGGCUACGUGCCGUUCUAGUCGCCGCGAGGGAAGCCGUUAAGCCUGCCGCCGUGGGGAGUACGGCCGCAAGGCUAGAAAACUUAAAGGAUUGGGCGGAGGAGCACCAGAAGGGGUGAAGCUUGCGGUUU